rnacentral:snRNA from 1 species
AGCUUUGCACAGUGGCAGUAUCGUAGCCAAUGAGGUUUAUCCGAGGCGUGAUUAUUGCUAAUUGAAAAAUUCUGAUAAUGAUU